GUUCCUUUUCCUCGUGAGUAGGACUGUGUGCUUGUUGGCUGCUCUUCAGGAGAAGAGGCUGAUGGGAGUUGACUGCACGCAACCAUGAGCUUCUCUCCUUCUUUCCACUGUCUGUAUUGUGUCUACCUCAGUCCCAAGAUCUUCGAGGACCAGAGAGGCAAGGCAUCCAUCAGGACUCUUAAUGUGAAGCCUCAAAGCCCAGCAUAUCUUCUUCCAUGAACGGAUGGGCUGGAAGGAUGCUGGAGGACUGGAUGAACUACAGGGUGUAUGCCAGGACAAGCAGAUCCAGAUGGUCCUUGAAGAGCAUGGCCUAUGGCUCUGCAGUUCCCGGGUCCUGAAGCACGGAGCUCCGGGACUAAAGGUUCCAGGAGCUCAGGCCCCUCCCCGCCUCUCGUCUUUCUUUGCAUUGGCUCCUGUCUCACUCCCUGAAAGGUCCUCACAAGACAUAGCAUCUGGCCACGUUCUCCGUCAUCUUCCUCCAGUUCUUCCUCUUGUCCAUCAGGACUGUGCACAAUCCCCCAAGUGGCCCUUCUGGUUGGCUCGUCUGUGCUCCAUACUUUCCCUGGACAAAUCCAGCACCCGGCCAGUGCAUACAGAAUGCAUCAGGUCCCCGGCAUCAGUUGAUGGACCUUAACGAUAGCUUCAGACCUAGUGGGACGUGAAGUAAUCCUGGAUGCAGGGCCAACCAUACCUCCGUGACCCAGAGGACCCAUUGUGGUGUGCCCCCCAGGGUUCUUGGGCGCUUUGCUCUUUAUUGCUUAUAUGGGGACCUGAAAGCACUUUCCUGUUUCAAUAUUCUUCCUCUCCCAAAUGUCUUUUAAUUCAGUGUCAGUUUGCUGUAGUUUGGCCUCAUGGACGUUGUCAUCCAGGAAUUCUUCACGUGAGUGUGUAGGUUGGUUGCUCCAUAAUCUAACAUACGGUUGUUUGGGAACGAUACUCUUGGACCGGGCUUUCCUUUAAAUUAAAAAUGUUUUGUUUGUAGAGGAGCUUUAGGUUACUUAAAUUGGCAGCUUCUGUUACCUCUUCAUGAUCGUUAAGAAAACUGGAAUGUUGCUGAAGAGGGCUGAUGCUGUGUGGUGGGAUUGCUCUCCACCUGGUGUUCUUUAUCUUGAAGUUCAAUGGUUUCAUUGGGUUUUAACUUGGCAUUUUUCCUCAUAAGUUUUCCUAUGAACGACAUGUGUAUGACCCAAGAAGUCAGAGCACACUGUAGCUCCAGAAGCUUUUCUUACCCGUGUCUUCGUAGGGACUGUCAGUGGUGUCUGCUUGGUUCUUGACCCAGGGACACCAGUGCUCCUUGGGCUGGAGGGUCUUAGUCUUCAUUGUUUAUCAACUUUCUCUGAUGAAUAAUCAUUGCGGCAAGCCACUCAGUUUCCAGGAACAGCUAGUUUGUCUGAUGUUUUCUCUUGCUUUGUAAUAACAUCAUAAGGCCCUUGUUUUGUCUUAAUCAUUGUGUUAGUCCAUUUUUCACUACUAUAGUGAAAUACUUGAGGCAGGACACCUUUACAAAGAGAUGAGGUUCGGCUUCCAGUUUUAGAUGCUGUAAGCCCAAUCAGCAAUGUGCAGGCUUUGGUGGGGGACCCAUGGCAGAUGCAGGAGUGCAAGGUCACACCUCAGAACAGGAAGUAAAGGUGGCACAGGUUUUUCUAACCAUCCUCGGAGGAUGGCUAGCCAGAGCUUCCCAGGAAACACCUACCCCAUGAUCCAAGGGGUUCCCCCAGGUCCCUCCUCUGAAGGUUUCCCAGUGUGUCAGCACACCAUCAUAUAAACCAGCUUCAAGCACAGCCACUAGCAGUUACUCUGUGUACAAUUCUAUACGGUAUGUAUGUAUGUAUGUAUGUAUGUAUGUAUGUAGUAUGUAUGUAUGUAGUAUGUAUGUAUGCAUGUAUGGAGACAGGCUCUCCCUGGGUGGCCCUGGCUGGCCUAUGAACUCUAUGUACGUUGUCUGGCAUUCUUUUUCUUUGCCUAGCAUUUGCCUUUUCCUAAUAUUCUUUUUCUCUGUCAUCGUGUUUCCUAGUUUGAUUUCUGUUGAUGUGAUAAAACAUCAUGCCAAAAGCUACAUGGGGGAGGAAGGUGUUAAUUCCGGCUCAUAUUUCCAGGUUCUCACAUGGGGAAGUCAAGGCAGCAGGACCUAAAAACAGCUGGUCACGUCACAUACACAGUCUGGAACGGAGAGAAAUGAAUGCGUACACGUCUGUUUGCUUUUGUGCUGCUCAGGUUCCCCGCUCUGAUGUAGUUCAGGAUUUCGUGCCUAGGGGAUGGUGCUGCCCGCAGUGGGCAGAGUCUUCCAACAUCAGUUAACUUUAGACAACUGCACAGACAUGUCCACAGGCCAACCCAGUGCAGACAGCUCCUCACCGAAACAAGUAAAGCCAAUCAGCACACCGUGUCAGGAUGUUUCUGCGACGUGUUCCUUUCCAUCUCCUUCGCUCUUUGGAAGGCCUCUCAGAGCAUAAGCAACCACACAGCGCACCUCUGGUGUCCUUUAAAUUUUACCUGAUUCCUCUUGAUGUCCCGUGCAGUUUGGAACAAUACCCAAAGACUCGUCUUUUCCUGUAAGAAAAUGGAAUUGAGAAAGAAAGUAGAACAGGGGGAGCCACAGCGGGCUCACACUUAGGCCUCUCAAUCCCAAGGACAGACCUUGGCACCCAGAAAGCCUGGAAAGGAAAAAUGGGAUGUUUGAACCAGUGGGAGGGGUCAAGGGUCGGUGACAGGAAUAUCAAGGGUGCUCACUUUUCAGGGGAAGGGACAGCGAAAGGUCUGUUUGCUAUAGAAGGACAUCCCCUGACACCUUUCUGCCUGCGGACGUGCGCUCAUUCAUGGGUCUUCGUUUCUUUUAGAUGGAGUUUCCUGGGAGGCUCGGAGCUCCCUGUUGGCUGUAAAUGUCCACGUAAUGAAGUCCAAGGCACUGACAUCUCCCUUUAUCAGCUAGAAAAGCCAGCCGAUUCAACCCCCGAUUGGACUCAGUUAGAUCUUAAUCCCAGCCUCUGAAGAGUUCUAAAGCAUCCUUGACGUGGCUUCUGCAGAUGUUGGUUCAAGAACAGGAACUGGGCUUCACGUCACUCCGCCUCACAGGACUUCAGGACACCGCAGGCAGAAAGCGACUUCCCUUCUUCCCACUGUGCUGUGCUUGUUUUUAGCCAAAGCCACAGGUGAGUGACCUAGGCUCAGGGAGUGAGCCAGGCUCUGUUUUCUGUCUCAUCGUUGAGUGUGAUCUGUAAGGUACACACCCCAUCGCAUCUAACCUCACCUGCCUUCGCCACCGACAUUAAAGUGGGAUGUGCUCACUCCUCUUCCGCACGGUCACAUCUUGGCCCCUGAGGAUGGGGUCCUCCAUCAGUAAUCCCUCUGUCCCAGCUGAGAGCCGCUUCCUUGAGAAGAGAACCUGUGAAUGCCCGUGCAAAAGAUG